ensembl:lncRNA
UCCAGACCUCAACCCCAUAGAAAAUCUGUGGCGGGAGUUGAAAGUCCGUGUUGCUCGGCGACAGCCCCAAAACAUCACUGCUCUCGAGAAGAUCUGCAUGGAGGAAUGGGCCAAAAUACCAGCUACUGUGUGUGCAAACCUGGUAAAGACCUAUAGUAAACGUUUGACCUCUGUUAUUGCCAACAAAGGUUAUGUUACAAAGUAUUGAGUUGUAUUUUUGUUAUUGACCAAAUACUUAUUUUCCACCCUGAUUUACGAAUAAAUUCUUUACAAAUCCUACCAUGUGGAUUCAUGGAUUUUUUUUUCCACAUUCUGUCUCUCACAGUUGAAGUGUACCUCUGGUGCAAAUUACUGACCUCUGUCAUCAUUUUAAGUGGGGGAACUUGCACAAUCGGUGGCUGACUAAAUACUUUUUAGCCCCACUGUACAUAGAUACACUCAUAUAUGUGUGUGUGUGUGUGUGUGUGUGUGUGUGUGUGUGUGUGUGUGUGUGUGUGUAUAAACUCUUUAACAGAGAAUAUACAAUUGAGAGAGAGAGAGAGAGAGAGAGAGAGAUAUGAACUUUGGUGCUGCACUGAAGAAUUGCAUAAGAUAGAUUAUGCAAAGCUGCCAAAGUCCAAGAGUAAAAAGUGCUCAGAUUUUAAAUGUUGAUGUAAAUUUAUUGUUGAACAUUUUUUUCUUAAUGUCAUUUACUGGGAACCCAGCUUACUGAACAUAGUGUCUAAGCCAGUUUAUAGCCCUUAAAAUCAGUGAAAAGUAAUCACUGAUUUUCAGUACCUCUCUGUAACAGGGAUUCACAACUAAUAAAGCACUGAUCAAAGAUGAGAUCAUAAUGUGUAAAUCCAUACUCUCAGGGUUUUACUGUGCUCUUGGGUUCCUAAUCUGUUCCCUACAGUGUUUUGUUCUUUAUUGAAUAAUGUUGAUCAUCUGGCCGCAUAUAAUACUAAACUCUUUAACAGAGAAUAUACCAUUUUAACACAUAAAAACACCACAGCAUAUGUAAGGUGGUCUUACCUACAAUGCCAUGAAAAAAACUAACUAGCCAUGACAUUGUCAUCUGGGCUGAUGACAUGUCCUCCUAUGGUUGAAUUUUUUCAGUUGUCCCUGCCAUGUAUGUAGCCAAGAUGGCAAUAAUUGGGCCUUGACGGUGUGAAUCCACUUGGGUUCUCAAAAUAACGAGGAAAGGGUUUCCUUACACCUGUUAAUCUGAAAGAUGGAUUUUGGUGUCAAAAGCACAGUAACUGCAAUAAAAAACUACAAAAUAUCCAGUAUUAAAUGUAUCCGUAAACAACAUAAAAUUGUUUAAACUCACCGCUUGUUGAGAAGUCCAUCUGGAAAUCAGUAAGCAUGGAAUAAAGAGUAUGAAUUUACACAUUUUUUCCUCAUUAAAUGUACUAUGUGGGGUUCCAUUAAAUUGUUACACAUCACAUUCUGAUUGAAAUUCUGAAUGAUCCAAAUUACAGAUGGUAUAAAAGAUGAAGCUAGCCACCAUGACAUCAGCCACUGGUUAGUAAAAUCCUGUUAGGAAGCGUUAAGAUGAGUGUUUUCUCUGUUGCCAUGUUGGUGUUUUGAAUAUUGUGUAUUUGUGACAAGUGAGGGGUGGCUCUGACUCUGACUCUGCACACUCAUUGCCAGAAGGUUGAUUCUGUUCAACUGGGUGUUGAGGUUUAAGUAGGAGGAACAUUUUAUCACUCAUCCACGUGACUUCUACUAUGUCAGAUAACUGUGGGUUUCCUCAACCUUAUAAACAGUUGGUUUGCAUAAUUAUGAAGAUAGCACCACUGACCAACAAUGGCCCACGAGCUCAGCUAUGAUCAUUAAUAUGCAAAUUGUCAUGACCAAUGAUCACAGAGGGACAGCUACCUACCGUGCCAACAGAGAGUUGAGGAAUGGCAACAAUCACAGCACUGUAACAUGGUGAAAAAUGUACCCUCAGGCCCCCUCCUCUAUUCAGAAAUGGUUGUUCCUUUUUCAUGUAAAUAAGGUGGGGGAAACCUGCAGACCGAAGAAGUCACUUGGAUGAGUGACGAAACGUUUCUCCCAGUGAAAACGCUACGUCCAGAUGAACAGAAUCAACUUUCUGGGAUGUCUUUACCUGGAGGAUUGACCAUGCACACUCACUAGCUAACAACUUACAACUGAUCAGAUAAUGAGCAUAAUCCUCCUCUCUGAUUCUGAUAACCACUGAGAUGCACAAAAUGGACUGAAUGCUACGCCCAAAUGAAAUUAAACUGGUUAUUGAGCCAAUAAAUUCAUCAGUAAAGCUUUUAAAGAGGUUGCAGGGCGAGGGAGUCAACAGUAGUUUUCCCAUACACUUAUACAACCUCAGUGGAACCACAGGGCAGAUGAGUGAAAGGAAUCCAGGUUCAGAAGGAUUCCUUGUUGGCUUCACUUUUCAGACCUGUGAGCUUCACCCAUUUGCUAUACUGUCUAUAUAACUAAAAAAUUAAUGGCCAUAUUUCUAACAGUGACAAAAAAUUAUCUUCAUGUGGGACCCCAUCAUUCCUAAUCUGAAUCUGGUUUACAAAAUAGCUUUUCGAGGCCUUUAAGGGGGAACAAAAUCCCAGCUUAAAACUCUCUGAUGUGUCAUGAGUGCAGUCCUUGUUUUCUUUGGUCACACUGUUUUUUGCUGCAGUUAUUGCACUACUCAGCCUAACUGGACCAUAAACCUCAUUAUUUGGUAUUGGCCCCAAAGAAUCGUACAGUGAGGCUUCCUAUAGUCACCUUCCAUUAAUCACUCAGCUGUUCUACUGGGAAACCUCUAUAACAGAGCUGGAGACACUCCACAGCACUCGUGUUUCUAUUUGCUGCUAUCAUUAUUAACAUUUUCACCUCUUUCUGUACAUUAACACAAAUGUGAUAUUUAAAGGAGUAUGUCCACUUUUUUGGAGUUGGGUAAUUUAUGUUUAUAGUUUAAUUUAUAGUUUAACUCAUGCAGAAAUGUUAUUCGGUUACAUGGCUAUUGGGCCUGCCUGCUGAAAUGGACAAAAUAAGCAUCUGUAUUUGCUUUGCUUAGUUAAAAAAUCAACAUGUGACGUCAGACAUGCAGCAGCUUUAUUUACAGCGCAUCCAUGUUUGAAUGGGAACCUGUGAAAACAAAAUAGACAUUUGCCAUAAUAGUAAGUGCACUGCUUGAGUCAUCACCUGCCUUCAAAAGUGGAUCCUGGAUCUCAGAUUGGGGCUUUGAUUAUAGUGUCACAGAUUCUUUGUUGGUUUGUUCCCACCCACUCAGUAUUUAAGCUCAUCAAGUCACUUGACGAUAACUUGGGACUAUCUGUGGUAUUUAAAGCAUAACCACUUGUUUUGUAGGAGCCUAUAGGAAGUCUUGAGUGGAUCAGAAUGAGUCAUCUGUCUUGUUUUAGUAUAUGCAGGGAAGAAUGCAUCACUGAAUGGUAAUAAAUGGCAGUUUCCCUCCUCAGUGUGUGACACUGUUUCUUCAUUCACAGCAGCAGCAGCUUUGGAUACAUGUCAAAGGUUUUGACUGUAUCUCAUGAUAUGAUUUCAUGGUUAUACCGCAGUAUGAUUUUAUCAC